GUCUUUUUGGUUAUUUAAUAUAAAGUCUGACCUGCCCACUGAAUUUAAAUUUAAAGGGCCGCAGUAUUUUGACUGUGCAAAGGUAGCAUAAUCAUUAGUCUUUUAAUUGAAGGCUGGUAUGAAUGGUUGGAUGAGGUACAAGCUGUGUCAUAAAAAUUAUUAUUUGAAUUUAACUUUUUAGUCAAAAGGCUAAAAUUAAAUUAAAAGACGAGAAGACCCUAUAGAGCUUUAUAUAAUAAUUAUUUAAAUUAUUAAGAUUUUUAAAAUUUAAUUAUUUUUUUUAUAUUUUGUUGGGGUGACAAUAAAAUUUAUUAAACUUUUAUUUAUUUUUUACAUUUAUUUAUGGUUAUAUGAUCCAAUUUUAUUGAUUAUAAAUUUAAGUUACCUUAGGGAUAACAGCGUAAUUUUUUUUGAGAGUUCUUAUCGACAAAAAAGAUUGCGACCUCGAUGUUGGAUUAAGAGUAAUUUUGGGUGUAGAAGUUCAAAGUUUAAGUCUGUUCGACUUUUAAAUUCUUACAU
rnacentral:rRNA from 1 species